UGCAUAGCAGUUGGGCAUACACUGCAAUAAGAAACAGAUACUUGCCAUUAGUACACAAGUAAAAGCAUAACUAAAACUAUGUACGGUAGGAUGUAGUAUAAGUAAAAAUAAGUAAUGAAAUAAACAAAAUAAUAAAUGAUUAUAUACAUUUUUUAUGUACUUUAUAUCAAACAAAUUUUUUUUCUCGUGCAACCAAACAAAGUAAUAAGUCAUGUAAUGUACUUGUAAUUGCAGUACAAGUUUGUCAUGUCCUAUCAAACAUAGUCCACAAGAAAUCAUCCCCAGUAUAGAAGAAGACACAAUCAAUGAACAAAUUUCAUAUAUUAAGAGUCUAUGUAAUAUGUUAGAGAGUAUUAAAAAUUAAUUUAAAAUAAAAUUUAAAAUGUUUUAAUAACAUUAAAAUAAUAAAACAAUUUUUCUAAAUUUCUUUUUUCAACAAUACUGAAAAUAUACUUUUCCUGAAAAUCACUUUUUUGGCUCUUAGAAUUCAAUGCCAAACGGUCCUAUUCAUGCUCAUAAGUUCUUUGACACUUUUUGCAGUGAACUUCUUGUUUGAGCUUAGAUAAAUCCUGUGUUUAACUAAAUAUGGAGUACUGAGAAUGGCGGGCCAUAAUCUAGAGCUAACAGAUUUUUCUUGAGAUCAGGCGAUUUUAGGAGCGUUUGCUUAAUUAUUGUAAUGAAACUUCACGUCUCAAAUUUUAUUGAAAUUUUC
rnacentral:misc_RNA from 1 species